GAAUGCACUAGUGAUUCAGGCCUAACACAUGCAAGUCGAGCGGUAGAGAGAAGCUUGCUUCUCUAAAAAAAGGCGGACGGGUGAGUAAUGCCUAGGAAUCUGCCUGGUAGUGGGGGAUAACGUUCGGAAACGGACGCUAAUACCGCAUACGUCCUACGGGAGAAAGCAGGGGACCUUCGGGCCUUGCGCUAUCAGAUGAGCCUAGGCCGGAUUAGCUAGUUGGUGAGGUAAUGGCUCACCAAGGCUACGAUCCGUAACUGGUCUGAGAGGAUGAUCAGUCACACUGGAAGGGAGACACGGUCCAGACUCCUACGGGAGGCAGCAGUGGGGAAUAUUGGCCAAUGGGCGAAAGCCUGCUUUUAUAGGGCCGCGUGUGUGAAGAAGGUCUU
rnacentral:rRNA from 1 species